rnacentral:lncRNA from 1 species
AUUUGUUGAAGUGAGAUGUUUAGAAAUGGUAUGUUCAUGGUGGUGAUGUUGUGUUGCGGUUGGUUUCUUUGUUCAUUGAAGUUGAGAAAUGAUGGAGGAUAUGAUAUGGAUCUACAAUAUGCUAGCAAGAAAGAAACUUAGUUCUCUUUUUGUUAUAGAAGGGCUCAAAGAAGUUCUGUAACCUUUAAGGUCUAGUUUACUGAGAGUUUAUAAGGAGGUGGUUGUUAUGUGUUUUUUUUU